CAACUUAUUUGGGAUCACAAUGACAAAGUAGUAAGAUAAUGACACCACAUCCUUGGAUUUAAUGCCAUUGGUAGUUGCCCUCUUGAGCGACAGUUUGUCGGGGCCUCUUCGGCUCGGAAGCCACUUCUUUUCUUCGGCGGUCCGCCAAUACUGUAACCCUAAACCUGCUCGUCAGCAAAUCGUUAAUUGAUUCGCUAAGUGCAAUUGAGCAGGGUCGAUCGUUUCGUACCCUAUCCAAUUUCCGACCGCGAACGCGAAAUACUAAUGACGAACCUAAGUUCGCCAAAUUUGAAGUCUCGAAGUCGAACCUAGAAGCAAUCGGCAUUCUCCGGUUGAUCUACCUUUUGUCUCGAAUCUUCGAAUUAUUCCAGUAGUUGACCAUCGCCACGAAAAGGAGCCUAUCUGACCAACAGAAAAACGACAGUCAACCCCGGCUCCUACCUACUUAUAUUUAAAUCACACAUACCAGAAAUUAAGUUACCUAUUCUACUUAUCCCUAUAUUUAAAAGAAGGCAAAUGCAUUCACACCAACACACAUCUCUCCACGGUUCUCACUCAUACGCCAGGGUGCAAAAAAGCCUAACACCUAGAGAGGACAUCCCGGGAUGCCUCCGACAUCCUAACGUUGAACUCAACAAUCAUACUCUAAGACAGGGGUCAGUAUGGGAGGGGCACGAUGUCACUCACCCCCGGAAACAGCAACAGCCUGAAGAACGAGCGAUGCAGAGCCUGCACAUCCGUCCAUCCUAGGACAUCAGAGGUUCAUUUGCGAAUGUGUAACCUGAAACUAGAGAAUGAAAUAUAUGAAGUCAUUGUUUAAAUU